rnacentral:rRNA from 1 species
GAAAUCUGGCACCUUCGGUGUCCGAGUUGUAAUUUGAAGAAGGUAACUUUGGAGUCAGCUCUUGUCUAUGUUCCUUGGAACAGGACGUCACAGAGGGUGAGAAUCCCGUGCGAUGAGAUGUCUGAUUCUAUGUAAAGUGCUUUCGAAGAGUCGAGUUGUUUGGGAAUGCAGCUCUAAGUGGGUGGUAAAUUCCAUCUAAAGCUAAAUAUUGGCGAGAGACCGAUAGCGAACAAGUACAGUGAUGGAAAGAUGAAAAGAACUUUGAAAAGAGAGUGAAAAAGUACGUGAAAUUGUUGAAAGGGAAGGGUUUGAGAUCAGACUUGGUAUUUUGUAUGUCUUGCUUUCGGGUGGGGCCUCUACAGUUUACUGGGCCAGCAUCGGUUUGGACGGUAGGAUAAUGACAUUGGAAUGUGGCACCACUUCGGUGGUGUG